rfam:Crassostrea gigas strain 05x7-T-G4-1.051#20 contig23138, whole genome shotgun sequence.
CAAACGGCCCUUUUCAGGGCCACACAAUUUUUUCGAAAAGCUACCAU